rnacentral:rRNA from 1 species
GAUGAACCCUGGCGGCGUGCCUAAUACAUGCAAGUCGAGCGAAUGGAUUAAGAGCUUGCUCUUAUGAAGUUAGCGGCGGACGGGUGAGUAACACGUGGGUAACCUGCCCAUAAGACUGGGAUAACUCCGGGAAACCGGGGCUAAUACCGGAUAACAUUUUGAACCGCAUGGUUCGAAAUCGAAAGGCGGCUUCGGCUGUCACUUAUGGAUGGACCCGCGUCGCAUUAGCUAGUUGGUGAGGUAACGGCUCACCAAGGCAACGAUGCGUAGCCGACCUGAGAGGGUGAUCGGCCACACUGGGACUGAGACACGGCCCAGACUCCUACGGGAGGCAGCAGUAGGGAAUCUUCCGCAAUGGACGAAAGUCUGACGGAGCAACGCCGCGUGAGUGAUGAAGGCUUUCGGGUCGUAAAACUCUGUUGUUAGGGAAGAACAAGUGCUAGUUGAAUAAGCUGGCACCUUGACGGUACCUAACCAGAAAGCCACGGCUAACUACGUGCCAGCCGCCCGCAGUAA